CAGUCGCCCGGGAAUACAGAGGGUGCGAGCGUUAAUCGGAUUUACUGGGCGUAAAGCGUGCGUAGGCGGCUUCUUAAGUCGGAUGUGAAAUCCCUGAGCUUAACUUAGGAAUUGCAUUCGAUACUGGGAAGCUAGAGUAUGGGAGAGGAUGGUAGAAUUCCAGGUGUAGCGGUGAAAUGCGUAGAGAUCUGGAGGAAUACCGAUGGCGAAGGCAGCCAUCUGGCCUAAUACUGACGCUGAGGUACGAAAGCAUGGGGAGCAAACAGGAUUAGAUACCCCAGUAGUCCCUGUCUCUUAUACA
rnacentral:rRNA from 1 species